rnacentral:misc_RNA from 1 species
GCGCCCGUCAUCGCACGCGAAGUGAUGGAGGACGACCAUUACGACAACUUCCUCAUCCCCAAGGGCGCGACAAUCAUGGCGAACAACUAUGCGAUCUCGCGCGACGCGGAGAUCUUCCCCGACCCCGAGUCGUUCAAGCCGACACGGUUCCUUGACGACUCGCUGACGAGACUCCGCACGGACAUCCUCAACCCGAUGGAAUUCGCGUUUGGGUU